rnacentral:rRNA from 1 species
AUUGAACGCUGGCGGCAUGCCUUACACAUGCAAGUCGAACGGCAGCGGACCUUCGGGUGCCGGCGAGUGGCGAACGGUGAGUAAUGCAUCGGAACGUGCCAUUGAGUGGGGGAUAACGUAGCGAAAGUUACGCUAAUACCGCAUAUUCUGUGAGCAGGAAAGCAGGGGACCGCAAGGCCUUGCGCUCUUUGAGCGGCCGAUGUCAGAUUAGCUAGUUGGUGAGGUAAAGGCUUACCAAGGCGACGAUCUGUAGCGGGUCUGAGAGGAUGAUCCGCCACACUGGAACUGAGACACGGUCCAGACUCCUACGGGAGGCAGCAGUGGGGAAUUUUGGACAAUGGGCGCAAGCCUGAUCCAGCCAUGCCGCGUGAGUGAAGAAGGCCU